rnacentral:rRNA from 1 species
CCCUUAGGUGUUCUGGGCCGCACGCGCGCUACACUGAUGCAUUCAACGAGCCUAGCCUUGACCGAGAGGUCCGGGUAAUCUUUGAAACUGCAUCGUGAUGGGGCUAGAUUAUUGCAAUUAUUAAUCUUCAACGAGGAAUGCCUAGUAAGCGUGAUUCAUCAAAUCGCGUUGAUUACGUCCCUGCCCUUUGUACACACCGCCCGUCGCUCCUACCGAUUGAGUGUGUUGGUGAGGAGUUUGGAUUGGCCUCGGAAGGUGGUUCGCCACCGUCCGUAGCUGAGAAGUUCUCCAAACCGCCCCACUUAGAGGAAGGAGAAGUCGUAACA